UAGACUAGCUGCAUAACUGUUUGUUAUUACUAUGUUGUUUCUUAGGUUUCUGUUUUGGAGGUUUCUGUUGGUCUGCUCACUAUUCUUGGUUGUGACAUUGCUCACAUCUCACCCAUAUGCUGGCAGAUGGUCUUCCUCUCUGGUAUAGCUUUUGAGUGCCAUGCUGUUUGUUUUUGGUGCCCCCCACACAUAAAUACCAAAGCAAAAUCAAUUACAAUGAAUGAUUUUGGCCAACAGGUGUUGUUCUGUUAAAUAUUGCUUUGGUCUUAAUGAAAAUUCAAGUAAUGAUUAAAAACAUUUAGGAAUGCCUCUAAUCCUCUCUACUUCUACAAUUAUUUUUGUCUGGUGUUGUUUCUCUUUGCUGUAGGUAAUGAAGUAGAUGGGCCUACACUUCUGCAUAUGUCUGAAAGAAUGGAUGAGUAAAUUUUUCCAAAAAAAAAGACCAGGUGAAGUUCCUGUCUGCUUUAGCCCAGCUAAAAGUUGAAAGCCAAGCCCCUGUGAGUCAAAUAACCCCAGCAGCCCAACCUAUGAUGAACUGCAAAGUCCGGUUUCAUUGCAUUGACCAAUAAGGAUGCAGCUCUGAAGUCACAUACAAAAAACAGAGUAAAAAACAUGCUUAUUCAAGCAUGGAUCAUUUGAGCCAAGAGACCAUAUGUGUGUCAACCAGGACAACCCUGCAACAUCCAGAGUCUUGAGGAGC